AAAAUAGAUGUUCUGUUUGUACAAUAAUGGUCCACCACCUAAUAAUUCUGUUUGGACAAUGAUGGGAAAAAUGAGAAAGAAAAAUUAGAGCAAUGAAAGUGAAAUGUGUACCAUUUGAUACAUUCAGAAAAAAGAAAUAUACGAUAAAGAUAGUAUUGAUGAUAAGAGUUGAUGUAAUGGCAAAGCUAUCAGGAAUCAUCGAUCAGUUGGCAUUGCUCUAGUCUGUUGAUAAUAUUUAAUAGGAGAGGCAAACACAUUCUGUGAUGACAGGUGUCAUCACCAGAAAAUUCGUAUUUAAUAAAUAAAAUAAAAUAAAAUAUAAAAGUCAACAAAAAAUUAAAGCUGGUGAUUUGAUUUGCUGUUUUGGAAAGAUGGUAUUGUGCUUUUGGGUUUUGUCUUUAUCUGGGUGUUUUUUUUUCCCUUUUUUCGAAUUUCGUGCUUCAGUUACAGGGAUUUCAAUUUGGUUUUCGUGUAAUAUACUUAUUCGUGAGUUAAUCCAAAGCUGUAGUUGAGAUCAAUUAAGCAAUCUCAAGCAUUAUCAUUGAAAGCUAGGAGAUUUGAUUAGCAGAUUUGGGAUGCACUGUGACUUUUUGGCUUUUAUCACAAUCAGGACGUUCAUGUAAAUUCUAAUUUCUUGCUUCAACUGCAGAUUAUUUAUGUAAAUUAAGGACUACCAAUGAAGUAAGUGUAAGGCUGUCUUUGAAGUUCAAACGUUUUCUGUCGUGAUUUCUACUUUGAAUUUCUGCAAAAGCUUCUGCCAUGGUCCAUAUUUAACUCUGUCUCUUUAUCCUAACAGUAAGUCUUUUUUAUUAUAAGUUCUAAUUCCGAUUCAAAUCCUAACCGGUUGCCGUUUUCAGGUUUGAAACUGAUACAACUUCUCACACAUUCCCCCUCUUUGCUUUUUUUUUUUUUUUUUUGAACGUUGAUUCUUCUGAACUUUUCACUUUUCAUAGGUUUUUUCAAAACUUUGAAAUCACAUUCUGCAUCUAACCAAAUUAAUAUGCUAACCGGCUUUAUCAUAAUCAUAUAUUGAUACAAGAUUCUAUCCAAAGUUCCCAUUUCUUUUAUAUAGUUCUUCAGAAAGGGUGAGAAGUCACAAGAAUGUAACUGCUGCAGAUUAACAGUUUCCUCCCUAUUUGUGAUGGUGGUAGGUUUAGGGCAGACAAAUUUGAGGCAGAUACAACAACAAAUGGUGAUUUAUCGCAAUUGCAUAACGACACAAACGGAGGAGGAGUCACCACAAAAUACUCUCAAAUCCUUGAAGGUUCUGCUUUUGAUCCAUUUCAAUCUGUUCUUGAAAUAUUACAAAAUGGAGUGCAGACCUGCAGGAUGCAGUUUAGAGUGAAAAGUAUGGAUUGACAGAUAAAUUAUGAGGAUACAUUUUCAAACUAGAGGUAAGAGUCUCUGACCGCGUGCAUAAGCGCUCAGGCGUGUGGCAAAACUUAAGAUGCAUUUUUUUAGGCUCAAAGUUUGGCACAAGAAUUUUGGUAAGGAACUUUUAAUACCUCCCUCUGUUUCUUUGGGCAGUUUAUGCAUAUUAGAAUUGAUACAUUGAUUAAAAUCAGUCUUCUUUUUGUACAAAGGAAAAAUUGCCACACACUCUUUUAGAGGCAUUUUUUUCUUAUUGAGUUUUUCAUCUAACUUUGCAUUUAUAUAUAAUAAGAUUAAUUGAGAUGUGUGUUGUAGACACUAUCGUUGGUUCAUCUACGCUUGAGGUAUUAGAUUCUUUGGCUUUUUAUCUUAGUAAUUUUCUGGGAAACAUUUUUGAAUAAGACACCUACUCAGUGUCAACAGAGAUAGUCUUGAUAGAUUGCUGAGAGAUGCAUCUUUGCAUAUACAGUAUAAGACACGGUUGUCGGGAAUCAUUUGAUUCUUUACUUACAUAAGGCAGAAUAGAAUCUACAUUAAAAAGCAUUCUAGCAGGUUGUCCAGGCUUAGAUUGCCCAGAUAGUGGGGAUAACACAACAAAACAUAUAUUUGGUGAAGUAGUACUAGUACAGGGAAGCAAUGGGUGAUGAUCUCCAAAGGCUAUAUCUUGAUGGCAACAGAUUGCAGGGCAGAUUCAUAUGGAGUUAUAACAACAAAUAUAGACAGUGAUGCUUUAGAAGUGAGUUAAUAAUACUCUUUUGAAAAGUAGAUGGCGCUUUUUCAUUUUUGCAGGAUCUGUUAUUUGUGGGUCUGGGAUCGACGUGGUUGCUUCCUGAAAUUCUAAUUCAAUGUAUCUAUACAAAUCCACGUGUCUUUACUGCAUCAAUUGAAUAUCCACCUCAUUAAUUUUGUAACUAACAGUCAUCAUCAUAAUCCACCCCAUCUUCUUCGCCUUCUGUGUCAGUUAGUUCAUCACCGCUUCAAUUUCUGAUUUGUGUUUUUAUAAAUACUUUUGAUGCAUUCACUGUUUGUUGCCUUAUUCUGUCUUCUGAGAACGAAUAUUGAAUUUUGCACAUUCAACUCUUGCUGAAUGGUUAAAAGUAUCAAGAUAAGCAUAGGCAAGCUUUCUAAUAUAUACUUGGAUGUAACCGUGCUUGGGUAGCAGACCAUGGAGAUAAAAUGGGCUUGGACGGCGGAGCUUGCUCAGCUGCGUGUGUCUCCAUGUAGUUAUACGGUAGUUUAAGUGCAACGAGAAUUUUUGGAACUUGGCAGGGUUUCUAGAAAAUGAUAGGUAAAGUAUUAAUACUUGAAGUUUUAAUGUCCAAUAGAAGGAGAUUGAAGAUAAGUACAAUGACAAAGGUUCUGUGGCACAUUCGGUUUCAGUAAAGUGUAUCUGUUUGACUCCAACCAGAUUCCAAUGUGAUUGCGUUCUUAAUAAAAUGGAAAAAGCUAGCGUUAUUUCCACUUCCAAUAGAAGUCAUUUACCUGCAAAAUCUAAGUCGGUUCAUAUUGUGUUGAAGUAAUCAAUUUUAGGUUGCUAAAUUGUUUAUGGUUGGCUGCAUAUUCUGUUUUGCUCGCAUCAUAUUCAAGUGACCAGAUUCAAUUCUUAAUCUUAAUUUUUUUAUGCUGUUGUGGCGUAGUAGGUUUAAAAUUUUAAAUGACACCAAAAUGGUUAUCAGUAAUGUAUUACAGAACUUUAUCCUCUGAAGAAGUGAGAAUUUACUCGCUAUAUUUGAGAAUCGUUGAGAUCUUUAUUCCUUAAUUUCUUAAUUUCAUAUAAAGGAUUUGAUCAAUAAAAUAUGGUUGGGAGUUUUUUAAUUAGCCGAGUUGGACAGUAAUGAAGGGCAUUGAGUUAUGUUAAGAUGUUUGACUUGCAAGACUUUUUCUGUGCAUGAAGACACUAAAAUGAAAUGAGAGAAGUAGAUCCAUUUGAUAACUCAUGGAGCCACAUAUCUUGCUCUGCUGGCAUUCUUUCUCCAAGGUUUUAGUUUCCAAGAGGUUAAAAAAACUUAGAACAGUAGUACUUCCUAGAAUGUCUCCAAAAGGAGUGAAGUUUCGAAUGUGUUCUUAAAGAGCACAAAUAAUAAAAAGGAAAAAAAAAAAGAUACCUACCUACUGUGAUGUAUCGAUGAUUCCCAGUAACAUCUCCAAUUGUUUUCAUGUAUGUUUGUUUUUUCACUUCGGGUUUUAUCCAUCCUCUACAAUGUUUUAGCCUAUGAUAUUCUAAUUUAACCCUCUUGAAAGCUGCCUCACUCCCAGUUGCUCUAUCCCCCUUAGCUCUUUUCUUUCUUUCUUUUACCUCUAAUUUAGAUUUUUUUUCCUUUCAAUUUCAGGAUUAACUGAGCAGCCAGUUAAAAACUUGGCAAAGAAACCGUAAGAGGCGGAAGAUUAUGAAGCAUAUAUACUAGAGUAUUACCGAAGACUUAAAGAGUUCUUGAUCGGAGAUUCUUCACUGCGGCAUUUGUAACUAUUAGAAUGAGCACCUAUGCAAUGUUGGGGAGUACCAAGCAAUCAACCCCCUGCCCUUCAUUACCUACUAUCAGAAGGUUGGCAACAUUGUCAAGGAUGAGACGGUCUUCUUAACAGCUGUUCUAUUACUAGGAUAUUCUUUUCCGUUAUAGCAUACAUUUUCAAGUACUGUUUAUGUGCAUAUGAAAUGGAUUCUGCAUCAUUUAGCCCCAGAACACUUUAUCUCCUUCAAGGAGCUGGAGUAGAGAUAUCAACAUGGGCAGCGAGUAAGGCUAGCAACGAAUCCCAACUCUUGCGAGUUUGUCUUGAGUGUUGGCGUGGAGAUUGGAUGCAUCAAGUAUUUUCUAUUAUGCAGGUUAAAGCGGACAUAACAUAAUGUAAGGCUUUGGGUGCUUUGUUUCUUUUAUAAGUACACAUUUCCUUGAAGGGAAAUUUCCACUUUGUUAAAGCUAAACACCAGAAUUAUAUUGCUCAUUCACCUUUUAUGACUAAAUACUUAGACAAUCCAAUGACUUGGUUGUUCACUUUUAACUUUUUACAUAAUGGAGGGGUACACAGAUAUUCCUUUGUUAUUUAGACAUGUUGUUGUAUCAUUUUAUUAUAUAUGAAAUUAUAUGGUUCGUGCUGUUU